rnacentral:rRNA from 1 species
UCACCAUCGACGAAGCCGCAGCUUGUGUUGUGGUGACGGUAGGUGGAGAAGAAGCACCGGCCAACUACGUGCCAGCAGCCGCGGUAAUACGUAGGGUGCGAGCGUUGUCCGGAAUUACUGGGCGUAAAGAGCUCGUAGGUGGUUUGUCGCGUUGUUCGUGGAAGUCCACAGCUUAACUGUGGGGGUGCGGGCGAUACGGGCAGACUGGAGUACUGCAGGGGAGACUGGAAUUCCUGGUGUAGCGGUGGAAUGCGCAGAUAUCAGGAGGAACACCGGUGGCGAAGGCGGGUCUCUGGGCAGUAACUGACGCUGAGGAGCGAAAGCGUGGGGAGCGAACAGGAUUAGAUACCCUGGUAGUCCACGCCGUAAACGGUGGGUACUAGGUGUGGGUUUCCUUCCUUGGGAUCCGUGCCGUAGCUAACGCAUUAAGUACCCCGCCUGGGGAGUACGGCCGCAAGGCUAAAACUCAAAGGAAUUGACGGGGGCCCGCACAAGCGGCGGAGCAUGUGGAUUAAUUCGAUGCAACGCGAAGAACCUUACCUGGGUUUGACAUGCACAGGACGCAUCCAGAGAUGGGUGUUCCCUUGUGGCCUGUGUGCAGGUGGUGCAUGGCUGUCGUC